rnacentral:rRNA from 1 species
UACGUAGGGUGCAAGCGUUAAUCGGAAUUACUGGGCGUAAAGCGUGCGCAGGCGGUUUUGUAAGUCUGUCGUGAAAUCCCCGGGCUCAACCUGGGAAUUGCGAUGGAGACUGCAAGGCUGGAGUCUGGCAGAGGGGGGUAGAAUUCCACGUGUAGCAGUGAAAUGCGUAGAGAUGUGGAGGAACACCGAUGGCGAAGGCAGCCCCUGGGUCAAGACUGACGCUCAUGCACGAAAGCGUGGGGAGCAAACAGG